GUGCUUACUUCAGUGGCUGGCACAUAUACUUAAAUUGGAACGAUACAGUGAAAAUUAGCAUGACCCCCGUGCAAGGAUGACACGCAAAUUCAUGAAGUGUUGUGUAAUUUU
ensembl:snRNA U6 U6 spliceosomal RNA